UGGUUGUCGUGGUGAUCGUGUCAUCAGCGGCUGCUCUGAUAUUCUGCUGGAAGAGAAAACACAGAGAACCUCCUGUGGAACCUGAAUAUGUUAAUGCUAUAGAGCUCAACAGAUUGUCUGAGAACAGAGAGGAGGAGAGACGGAGCAGAUCUCCUGCUGCACAAAUAUCUACAGUUUACACUUUUUAGCAGCUUUCCUGCAGCAAGUUCUCAGCAGAAAGUAGGUAAAAACUGUGGUGGGAUUUCAGUUCAGAAAUCUUUACACUUCAUCUACUAAAAAUAACUUGACUAAUAGGGGAGUAACAAUAGAUAGAAGACCAUUGAACCAGUACUGAACCAUCCAUCCAUCCAUUUUUAUCCUCUUAUCUGUGGGCCGGGUCAAAAUCUUAUGGUUAAAGACUUUUAAAAAUGUAUUUAACAUUUAUUUAUACAGGUCAUUUCGUUGAGGCAUGGGGUCUCAUUUUCAAGAGAAACUUGUCGAGAACAAACAGAAAUACGGCAUAAAGUGAAGACAGAACAGGACAUUUAUACAGAGGACACGGGUCCUGAAAUGAUCAUUUCUAAGAAUUUUAAAACUAUAGACAAGAACAAACCCCUGCAGACAUUUUCUACAGAUUUGUUUCAUGUCUUUUGUUCUUAUUGCUGUUUUGAAUCAAUAUGAUAAUGUGUUGUGUUGAAAUGUUUUUGCUGUGG